rnacentral:rRNA from 1 species
CACGUAGGGGGCAAGCGUUGUCCGGAUUUAUUGGGCGUAAAGAGCUCGUAGGCGGUUCGGUAAGUCGGGUGUGAAACCUCCAGGCUCAACCUGGAGAGGCCACCUGAUACUGCUGUGACUCGAGUCCGGUAGGGGAGCGUGGAAUUCCUGGUGUAGCGGUGAAAUGCGCAGAUAUCGUAAGGAAGACCAGUGGCGAAGGCGGGUCUCUGGACAGUUCCUGACGCUGAGGCACGAAGGCCAGGGGAGCAAACGGG